ACGGCUCAGUAACACGUAGUCAACAUGCCCAAAGGACGUGGAUAACCUCGGGAAACUGAGGAUAAACCGCGAUAGGUCAUAAGUACUGGAAUGUUUUAUGGCUCAAAUCUACAUGGCCUCUGGAUUGGACUGCGGCCGAUCAGGCUGUUGGUGAGGUAAUGGCCCACCAAACCUGUUACCGGUACGGGCUCUGAGAGGAGGAGCCCGGAGAUGGGCACUGAGACAAGGGCCCAGGCCCUAUGGGGCGCAGCAGGCGCGAAACCUCUGCAAUAGGCGAAAGCUUGACAGGGUUACUCUGAGUGAUUCCCGCUAAGGGAAUCUUUUGGCAUCUCUAAAAACGAUGUAGAAUAAGGGGUGGGCAAGUCUGGUGUCAGCCGCCGCGGUAAUACCAGCACCCCGAGUGGUCGGGACGAUUAUUGGGCCUAAAGCAUCCGUAGCCGGUCUUGCAAGUCUUCCGUUAAAUCCACCUGCUUAACAGAUGGGCUGCGGAAGAUACUACAAGACUAGGAGGCGGGAGAGGCAAGCGGUACUCAGUGGGUAGGGGUAAAAUCCUCUGAUCCAUUGAAGACCACCAGUGGCGAAGGCGGCUUGCCAGAACGCGCUCGACGGUGAGGGAUGAAAGCUGGGGGAGCAAACCGGAUUAGAUACCCGGGUAGUCCCAGCUGUAAACGAUGCAGACUCGGUGAUGGGCCGGCUUCAUGCCGGCUCAGUGCCGCAGGGAAGCCGUUAAGUCUGCCGCCUGGGGAGUACGGUCGCAAGACUGAAACUUAAAGGAAUUGGCGGGGGAGCA
rnacentral:rRNA from 1 species